AACACUGUUAACCUGCGGUACCUGCGGAAGGAUCAUUACAGAGUGUUUAACCCCCUAUAAAAUGGUGGGUCUAACCUCCCGUCCUUUGCUGGGUCCCCCUUCUGGAGGACUUUCAAAACUUUCUGCCUCGGCGGGGUAUACCCGCCGGAACACCCUCAAAAAAUUCUUGAUCAAAAUGGUUCGGUCCGAGAAACUUUUUGUGAAAAUUAGCGAAAAACUUUCAACAACGGAUCUCAGAUC
rnacentral:misc_RNA from 1 species